rfam:Pseudomonas alcaligenes NBRC 14159 DNA, contig: PA6020.
UUGACUGCAAAAUGAGAAUUGUUAUUAUUACACCAACUGGUCGCGAGAUCAGCCGAUAAGCUCAAGAGACCACAGCAGUCGGACUCUUCAGAUUAUCUCCUCAUCAGGCUAAUCACGGUUAUUGACCCGGCACUUUGCCGGGUCUUUUUUUG